UGUGGGUACCAAAUGUGUGCCCUAUUCUGAGGCGACAGAAUAGGACAUCUGUUCGCCGAGAUAUUGUUGGGGAGGGCCGAAAACCUAACUGUGGCUUUAUAACGUGCAGUUUAUUAUUUGUCUCUGCGUUCCACAUGCGUUGCCAGUGUUGUCGCAGUUUCUUUCUUAAAAAAGGCUUCAGAUCUGUGACAGGGACAGCAGCCGUAGGAAAAGGGGUUAGUGAUGUGAGUGAUGUGGCCAUUUUGUCAGCUAGUACAUUACCCUCGAUGCCUCUAUGGCCAGGUACCCAGCAUUUUACUACGUGUCUAUGUGAUAGAUAAAUAUUGCAUAAGAGCGAGUAAAGUUCAAUGAAAACAGGAUUUGUAUGCUUUUGUAAAGAAAUUAACGCUUUUACAAGACUUAACGAGUCUGUAAAUACUACAGCUCUGUCGAGUUUUAAUUUAUUUAUAUGUUUUACUGCAGACAGUACUGCAUAGGCUUCUGCGGAGAAGAUACUUGUUAGCGGGUUCAAUACGUCAGAUUUAGAAAAAGAGGGACCAACAGCAGCAUAAGAUACACCAGCAUGUGAUUUUGACGCAUCUGUGUAGAAUUCUGAGCACGAGUACUUCGAUUGAAGUUCACAGAAAUGCAUAGCGAUUUCGAGGUCAAGUGCGUGCUUUGUGACCUCUACAAAGGACACGUCACAGUCUAAUACCUGCCACUCCCAGGGCGGUGAAGGCUUUGCUGGAGGCAUUAGGCGAUGUUCGAGAACUGGGACAUCCAUUUCUUCGCUAAGUUCUCUUGCACGGAGUGACAAAGGAAGUCUCAUGGAGGGUCUAUUGCGAAAAACUGUUUCGUAGGUCAAGUCGUUUACAGUUGUGAAACACGGAUGUUCUUUACUAGAGCGCACUUUGAGAAAAUAUGUGAAGCUGAUGUAUGUUCGCUGAAUAUGGAGUGACCACUCGUCUGACUCUACAUAUAGUCUUUCAACAGGGCUUGUUCUAAAUGCGCUAGUGGCCAGGCGGAUACCCAGAUGAUGAAGGGGGUCUAACGUCUUUAGCGCGCUCGGUGCGGCAGAGUGAUAUACUACAGCACCAUAACCUAUUCGUGAUCGAACUAGGCUCCUGUAAAGAUUCAAAAGGCCCUUCCUGUCGUUACCGCAUGUUGUGUGGGAUAGGAUUUUAAGUAAGUUCAUUGUUUCUAGACACUUUGCUUUAAGACAUUUUGGCUGAAAUGAAAGUAAGCCUGGAGUCAAGUAUAACACCUAGAAAUUUGUGCUCUUUGUUGACAGGAAUUUGUUGUCCGCCUAGUUCUACACAAGGAUCUGGGAGCAGGCCUCUCUUUCUUGUGAAGAGAACACAAGAACUUUUGUGGGAGUUGAUUUUAAAUACCUUUUGGUCUGUCCACUUGGACACCUUGUUUAAGCCCUGCUGUACCUGUCUCUCGCACACUGUGAGGUUGCAGGGUUUGAAACCUAUUUGUAUAUCGUCCACGUAGACGGAAUAAAAAAUGACCGGUGGUACAGAAGCACGAAGUGUGUUCAUCUUAACGAUAAAGAGUGUGCGACUGAGUACGCCUCCCUGGGGUACACCAGUUUCUUGUAUAAAAGGUCGCGAUAAUACGUUGUCGAUUUUCACGCGGAAGGUACGAUUCGACAAAUAGCUUUUAAUUAUUUUCAACAUAAGCGCUCGUCCGUGUCUCUUCUUGUGUCGUCUGUUUGGCGCCUUAGUAUUUCAGUAAUAUUUCCACAGAUGCCCAUUCCCGACAAGUCUCGCAAGAUCCCGUAACGCUAUGUUGUGUCAUAUGCCUUCUCCAUAUCGAGGAAUAUCGAGAGGAAAUACUGUUUGUGUACAAAUGCAUCGCGGAUAUAUCCUUCAAUGCGCACAAGAUGAUCGGUUGUCGACCGCCCUUGUCUGAAGCCACACUGAUAGGGAUCGAGCAUAUUGCUGAGUUCAAGGAAAUGUAUGAGUCUGCGAUUAAUCAUUUUUUUAAAAAGCUUACACAGACAAUUUGUAAGAGCUACCGGACGAUAACCUGCUGCCAAGGAAGCGUUUUUUCCCUGCUUCAGAACAGGAACCACAAUCGCUUCUUUCCAUGUGGAUGGGAGGUAUCCCGCAGCCCAAAUAGUGUUGAAAAGUGUGAGUAGUGUAACAUGUGUGUCAGUAUGUAAGUUUCUGAUAAUGUCAUACAUGACUCUGUCAGGUCCCGGUGUAGUGCUUUUGCAUGUGUUCAAGGCAGCUCUCAACUCGGCAGUACUGAAAGGCCGGUUAUACGGUUCAUUCUGUCUGGAUUUUCGUAUGAUAUUGGCUUACGUUCUAUUUAUUUAUGCUGAAAAAAGGAUUGGGAAUAGGGGAUUGAGCUCGACACACGCUCAAAGUACUCCCCAAGUGAGUCUGCCUGAUCUUGCAGUUUAUCGCCCUGUGUAUUUACCAAAGGGAGUGAAUAUCUUUGUCGCCCUCUUAUCCUAUUAACCUUGUUCCAGACUUUGGCCUCAUCUGCAUACGAGUUAAUGUCCGAUAAAAACUUCGGCCAACUCUCUCUUCUGGCCUGUCGGCGCGUUCUCCUGCCUUGGGACUUUACUUUCUUAAAGUUAAUAAGAUUCUCCGCAGUGGAAGACGCUCGUAGCUACCCCCACGCUUUGUUCUGUUUUUUUUUUUUUUUUUACGAGGGAUCCUACAUUCGUCGUUCAUCCACGGCACACGCUGUUUGCAUGCCAAGCUAUUUACUUUUGAUAUGCAUUUAGAUGCGGCAUCUAUUAUGAAGGCUGUAAAAUACUCCUCCCGCAGCAUCAAUUCCUACCGAGGACAUCUCAUCCCAUGAGAUACUAGUGAGAGUUCGGAAUUUCUCCCAUUCGGCUGUAUCAAUCUUCCACUUAGGAGCCUGUGGUGGAUAUUCGUUUUCUUUAGGUGUUAGCAGUAUGGGAAAGGGGUCGCUUCCGUAAAGAUUGUUGGUAACUUCCCAUUCAAGUUCAGGCAGUAUAGACGGGGAAACUAGGCUAAGAACAAUUGAAGAAAAGAAGGUUCUGUUUGCAAGACAGUAAUAUGUGGGUUCCUUCUUAUUCAGCAGACACGCACCGGACGAAAAAAGGAACUGUUCAACGAGACGACCUCGCGCAUCGAUACGAGAGUCUCCCUACAGGCUGCUGUGUGCAUUGAAAUCACCAAGAACAACAUAAGGUUCGGGCAAUUGAUCUAUAAAGGACUGAAAUUCAUGUUUGUUUAAUUGGUAAUGCGGGGCUAUGUAAAGCGAGCAAAUGGUGAUGAGUUUGAUUAGGAGAGCAACUCGAACCGCCACUGCUUCAAGGGACGUUUGUAGCUGCCAACGUUGACACGCUAUGUUUUUAUAAACAACAAUAACAACACCGCGCGAUGAUGCGACAGCAUCAUCGCGAUCUCUGCGAAACGUAACAUAGCGUAGGAGGAAGUUUGUGUUUCGAUUUUAAGUGUGUUUCCUGUAAACAAAGCACUUUUGGAUUGUGUUUGUGGAUGAGUUCUUGCACAUCGUCAAGGUUUCUAAGAAGACCUCUGACGUUCCAUUGAUUAAUUUGUGUAUCCAUAUUGGAAGCAAAUAGGUGCUGUGUGUACACAAACAGAAGUAGUAAUUACAGAGAUUUCAGAGAUUAGAUUACAGAGCUCUUUCGAGGCCCUGUAACCGGGGUUUUGCCCUGCGUUCGAGGAAGCCUCGCCGCUCCUUAGGCGCUUGGUGCGCCGUGAGGAUAGGUGUCCAUUGCCGCUUGUGAGACGCCGGACACGCACUCCUGCGAGGGCGUUUUCCGAGAGAGUCCUGCCUCGGAGGGCAAGACCCCUGCGCCCAUCAGCCCGGAGGCCGAUGGGGCUCCCUGAGGGAUUUGGCUGCGCCGGCUGUUGCCACGGCUGGAAGGGGUCGGGGAGGUUGGGGCAGCCUUGGCUGCGCCUACCUUCGGGGUCGAUGAUCCCUUCUGCUGGGUUGGCGGAGCAGCGCUAGCUGCAACCGCCGCGGGGGCAGAUGGCGUAACUGCCGACUCACUGCUUGUGGGUCGGACAGCCGCCGGAAGCCGUUGUGUCGCUGCCCCCUGACGCGUCACAUCGGCAAAAGGUUUUCUUGGGCAGGUAUGAAACCCGCUUGCGUGCCUCCUUGAAUGAUGUAUUCUCUUUGACUUUGAUCGUUACAAUUUCUUUUUCUUUUUUCCAGGAUGGGUACGACCGCGAGUACGCGGCGUGCUCCCCAUCACAGUUUACACAGUGGAGAGCGUUCUCACAAGCUUCAGUGGUGUGUUCAUGCGCACUGCAUUUUGCACAAGUUUGACGGCCUCGGCAGCUCGGCGAACUGUGGCCAAAACACUGGCAUUCGAAUCAUCGGAGCGGAUUUGGCACGUACGGCUUAACACGGAGCUUGAUGUACCCGGUUUCGAUUGACUCGGGCAGGACACUUGAAUUGAAGAAAUUCAUCCGCAUGUCACCUCGGACAGAUAACAUUGUACCAGCCUCUACCACCCAUUCAAGCGGAACAAACUACGACAAAACGCAUCUCAAGCCGAUGGAGAGGACGAGAUGGAACCAGACACCACUGACGAUGAGGCAUCAAGCGACUUGCCAGAGAGCAUGCAAUUGUUACAAGCGCAGUUUCCUACACCAUCACACCACAUGGGCGGAUUUUCAAGAAACCUGCAGACUCGCAUGCAAGAGAAGUACCUGGAGAAAUGUCGAGCCUAUAAUGCACUGCAGGAGCGCUAUUUAAUCAUGCAAAAUGACUUUCGAGACCUUCAAGCGAAAAGAAGUUCAGAAGCGAAUGGUGCUGCUGCUGCAUGGGGAUAUGCUGCCAUAGCCGGGCACUCUGAAAAGGUUGCAUACUGCACAGGCCUGCCAAAUAAAGAGACAUUUGCAUUGGUUGUGUGUGUAUAUAGAACUGCUUGCCCUUCUGUGGAAACGAUGAGCUACGAAGAACAGGUUUUGCUCGUGCUGAUGAGGCUACGCCUUGAGAUUCACCUGUGCUUUCUGGCGGAUCUCUUUAAAAUAAGUAAAAAUUAUGUGUCAAUAAUAUUUGAAAGUGCCCUCACAACACUAGUGAGUGAGCUAAAAGGGCUCGUUGUGUGGCCAGACGAUGUGGCCUUUCGCGCAUGGCAACCGAAAAUAUUUCAAUGUAAGAGGUUUCGUCAAGUUCGAGCAAUUAUUGACAGCACUGAGAUUCUCCUUGAAAGGGCACGUGCAUCAACGGCACAGAGCACAACCUGGUCCAAGUACAAGAACUUCAACUCUGUAAAGGUGCUGGUUGGGAUCACACCUGAUGGGCUAAUCUCGUAUAUUUCGGAGUGCUGAGGCGGCAAAA